rnacentral:rRNA from 1 species
AUUGAACGCUGGCGGCAGGCCUAACACAUGCAAGUCGAGCGGAUGAGUGGAGCUUGCUCCAUGAUUCAGCGGCGGACGGGUGAGUAAUGCCUAGGAAUCUGCCUGGUAGUGGGGGACAACGUUUCGAAAGGAACGCUAAUACCGCAUACGUCCUACGGGAGAAAGUGGGGGAUCUUCGGACCUCACGCUAUCAGAUGAGCCUAGGUCGGAUUAGCUAGUUGGUGAGGUAAAGGCUCACCAAGGCGACGAUCCGUAACUGGUCUGAGAGGAUGAUCCGUCACACUGGAACUGGGACACGGUCCAGACUCCUACGGGAGGCAGCAGUGGUGAAUAUUGGACAAUGGGCGAAAGCCUGAUCCAGCCAUGCCGCGUGUGUGAAGAAGGUCUUCGGAUUGUAAAGCACUUUAAGUUGGGAGGAAGGGCAGUAAGUUAAUACCUUGCUGUUUUGACGUUACCAACAGAAUAAGCACCGGCUAACUUCGUGCCAGCCGCCGCCGUAAUAC